GGAAUAUUGCACAAUGGGCGCAAGCCUGAUGCAGCGACGCCGCGUGAGGGAUGACGGCCUUCGGGUUGUAAACCUCUUUCAGCAGGGAAGAAGCGUGAGUGACGGUACCUGCAGAAGAAGCACCGGCUAACUACGUGCCAGCAGCCGCGGUAAUACGUAGGGUGCGAGCGUUGUCCGGAAUUAUUGGGCGUAAAGAGCUCGUAGGCGGCUUGUCGCGUCGGAUGUGAAAGCCCGGGGCUUAACCCCGGGUCUGCAUUCGAUACGGGCAGGCUAGAGUUCGGUAGGGGAGAUCGGAAUUCCUGGUGUAGCGGUGAAAUGCGCAGAUAUCAGGAGGAACACCGGUGGCGAAGGCGGAUCUCUGGGCCGGUACUGACGCUGAGGAGCGAAAGCGUGGGGAGCGAACAGGA
rnacentral:misc_RNA from 1 species